GGAAAUGGCAGCUGAUUCAGCUUUACUUCUCUCUCUAUAGGAUUCCAGUAAACAACUGACCAGUCUGAGUUUCUUUUGGCAUAUCCUGCCCAAAAGAGCUCAUAAUGAGUGGUUUUGAAGUUAAGAGAUAUUUCAAAAUAACUUUCAAAAGGAAGAAGAUUACUGUGGAAAUUUUGGAAUUCAAGGAAGACACUAACUAUUCAGUCCCUAAGAUUUUUGAAAGCAUAAAGAAAAAUAUGGAGGUAACGAGGUUACCAACGGUGAGAGUACAGAAAGAGAAGUGGACCCUGGAGAGAACACUGAGGAACACCCAUUUUAGGGACAUAAUACUGCUGAGGAACCUGUAAAGGAGUGUUUAUACAGAGAGGAGGAAAAACCAGAAGGCAAAGAUUAUCCAGGAGAAACGAGGAGCCAACAGUAUCAAAUGCAUUAGAAAGGUCAAGAGGGAAAGGACUGAGAAAAAAGAUGGUGGAUUAUCUACAAGCCUCUUCAACCCUAAACUAAAGGAACCAUCCACACGGAGUAAUUACAGCUAAGUCAACACAAGAAAAAAACAGAACCACCCACCUUCCCCCAGCACCCAAGCAAGGUAAAAAUCUUAGCAAUCCACACCUGAGAACUUUAACACUUAGAAUAACUGCUCAUGACCCUACCCUAUACCCCCUCCAAAUGUUUGGCAGCAAUAAAAGUAAGAAAACUCACAGACUUAUGCCUGGGCCCUGGCCCUAGGUAGAGAACCUCCACCCUCCAUCCCUGACGUCACAACUUAAUUUCAUUCUUUCAGUCUGUGAAUUCAUUUGAAGGUAGCACAUUCUCAAAGCAGAUGAUAAUUAAUGCAAGCCCUGCUUUAUAGAAACUUUAAAACUGUGAUUUUUACAACCACUCAAAAUACCCUGGAGUAAGGAAAGCUCUUGAUACAAAGACCAGUAUGUCAACAGUUUCUCUGAUAAUUUUGGAUGUAAAAUUAAAAGUCUAAAGAGAAUAAAUCAUAGGACUUGGGACUGGAGGAUCCUUAAGAGAUCAUUUAGGUCAAACCUCUAUUUUAUAGAUGUAUUUUACAGAUGAAGAUACAGAGGCUCAUGGAGGGAAAUGAUUUCUUUAAAGUCAUGCACAUGUUAGGUAGCAUGGGUUGAGAUUUCUAAAAUGGCAUCUCCUGAUCCCAAUAACAGGUUUCUUUCCAAUAACACUAUCAAGACAGUAGUAGUAAUAACUAAGAUUAAAUAAGGCAGUAAAUUUUGUGGAUAAAGGGAAA